CGGUUGAUCCUGCCGGAGGCCACUGCUAUCGGGGUUCGAUUAAGCCAUGCGAGUCGAGAGGUGCAAGACCUCGGCAUACUGCUCAGUAACACGUGGACAACCUACCCUAAGGAGGGGGAUAGCCCCGGGAAACUGGGGAUAAUACCCCAUAGGCUACAGAUGCUGGAAUGCUCUGUAAUCAAAAGGUCCGCCGCCUUAGGAUGGGUCUGCGGCCGAUUAGGUUGUUGUUGGGGUAAAGGCCCAACAAGCCUGUAAUCGGUACGGGUUGUGGGAGCAAGAACCCGGAGAUGGAUUCUGAGACACGAAUCCAGGCCCUACAGGGCGCAGCAGGCGCGAAAACUUUGCAAUGCGGGAAACCGUGACAAGGGAACCCCGAGUGCCCGUAAAUUCGGGCUGUUCUGGUGUACAAAAAGCACCAGGAGAAAGGGCCGGGCAAGACCGGUGCCAGCCGCCGCGGUAAUACCGGCGGCUCGAGUGGUGGCCACUAUUACUGGGCUUAAAGCGUUCGUAGCUGGACUGUUAAGUCUCUUGGGAAAUCUACCGGCUUAACCGAUAGGCGUUCAAGAGAUACUGGCAAUCUAGGGACCGGGAGAGGUGAGAGGUACUCCAGGGGUAGGAGUGAAAUCCUGUAAUCCUUGGGGGANCACCUGUGGCGAAGGCGUCUCAUCAGAACGGCUCCGACAGUGAGGGANGAAAGCUGGGGGAGCAAACCGGAUUAGAUACCCGGGUAGUCCCAGCUGUAAACNAUGNNCGUUAGGUGUAUCGGUGACCACGAGUCANCGAGGUGCCGAANANAAUCGUGAAACGUGCCGCCNGGGANU
rnacentral:rRNA from 1 species